rnacentral:lncRNA from 1 species
ACAGAGAGAGAGAGAGAGGCAGAGACACAGGCAGAGGGAGAAGCAGGCUCCAUGCACCGGGAGCCCGAUGUGGGAUUUGAUCCUGGGUCUCCAGGAUCGCGCCCUGGGUCAAAGGCAGGCACCAAACCGCUGCGCCACCCAGGGAUCCCCAAACUCCUAAUUAUUAAACAGUGUUAUAAAAAAACAAAAAAGAUUAAGGAUUUAAUUGAUAACAAAGAAAUUCUAGACUUACACCAUGGAUUUCUAUUGCCAGGAACAAAACUGUAAGUUUCUGCUGUUCUAUGAAAUCUUUGAACAUAUGAAUACUUUAUAAUAACUAAAUCUUAAUCUCCAUUAGAAAGAUCCCCAAUGGACCUUUACUUUGUUUUUUAGUAAUUCAAGACACCAAUCUAAUCAAGAUUCCCUCUCUUCAUGGCCUCCCAACACACACACCUGUUAGAAUUAAUGUCUUCUUCCCUCACAGAUCUUAUGUUGUUUCUGACUCUACUGUAACACUUUCCAUAUAGUUUUCUUCAUUUCAGAGACAUCAAACUUGAUUCUCUCUUUCCCAGUUAAUAUUCUAGCUAAAGUCUGGGACUCUGGAGCUAAACUCCUUGUAUUAAAAUCCCAGGCAUGAACUCUUUAAAUAACUUUGUGUAGAACUUAACCUUUCAGAGUCUCAGUUUCUAUGUCUAUCAAAUAAGAAUAGUUCUGGGACUGCUUCGUGGGAUUGACUUGAGAAUUAAUGAGUAAUACCUAUGAGGGGCAUAUAACAAUGUUAUCUAUUACUACUGUGAGUUCUUAGAGGGGACAUACUUUGUCACUUGUAACUUACUAUUCCCCACAACAUUUACAACAAUGUUUUAAAAUUUUAUAAGCAUUUAAUGCAUACGUGAUAAAUAGAUUCUACUUUACUAAUUACUCUAUUUCUUCUCAAAUAUAAGGGGUUAGAAAUUGUGAUGAGCAAAGACUGUUCCUCUAUAUAGGUCUUACUAUUCCUUAUAGUUGACAAACAGCAGAAUGACACAGCUCCAGGUCAGCAACUUCCUUAAUGCACUUGAAGUGUUUAAGUACUUUGAGUAAAGAUUGGCCUAAAUGAACCCUAAAGUCUCUGACACUAUGAUCUGUGGUUAAAUCCUUAUGUGAAGGUGCCCUUGUCAAUAAACUAGAAUUAUUUCUUUUCCGUACAGUACUACACCAAAUAAUUAAUGAUCUGUAAAUUGGUCCAAUAUGUACCACCAUUUAGAGCAAAAAAAGUUAUUAGUAAAAUGAAAGCUUUUCUGGUAUGAAAGAGAAAUAGUUUUAUAUGAUAGUAAUUAUUAUUAUAAAAUUGAUUUGUUUCUGUAAGGUUAGAUUUUAAUACAUUGUUUUAUUAAAAAUCACAUACUAUUAAUGAAAAUCCAUAAAAUGAAGGACCAAAACAUAUGAGUCUGUGCAGUAAUGUUGAAUGGGGCAGAAUUUAAAAUCUUGAUCUCUUUGAAUUAUCCUUGUUUAAAGGGUUGUGACCCUUUCUUGGAGUAGCCUUAGUAGGCAAUCUGCAGUAGCAGUUAAGGACAUAUUUUGAUGUUUCUGGAAUCAGACUUCCUGGUUCAAUCUAUUCUUCCUGGAAAAUCUAUUUCCUAGCUGUGUGCAUCUGACCCAGUGUAUGCACUUGUCAGGAAUCUAUCAACCACAAACAUCCAGUGAACCCCACUUGCUUAAAGGAGAGCAACUGCUAUGAUGCCAUGGUGCCUCCUCUUAUAACACUGGUUAUCUCAGCCUCCCAGAAAGGGAAGCCAGUCUUUGGCAGGGUUCCAGCAUGCUUGCCAUGUACAAGCCCAACUGCUCCAGUAUCCAGGUGGGCGCUGAUAAGCUCUCCUAUGGGAAGCACCAUGUGAAGGAAAUGGGGGCCUGUGUAAAGCACCAUGCCAGAAAAUGAGGAUCUGUCUUCUCCAGAGUUUGCCAAUUAACACAUCCAGACUGAAAAGGGAGUUAACAUCCUAUGGGAUAACUGGAAUCAAAGAAAGGAAGACAAGAAGGAGCCAUCAGAUAAAUUUCCUUCCUUUCUUCCCCUCUGAGACAUGGUGGAUCUGUAAGUUCUGUCUGAAAGCUGUCCAGCAUGACUGAGCAGUUGACUGUGUUGUCUUAAAAAUUGUGGUCAAAAAAAAAAAAAAUUGUGGUCAAUUGGGUAAUACAAUACCUUAUGUUUUCUUUUCUUGCCUCACCGUCCUUUGUACCAUUGUUUUGCUCUGAGAUUGCAUGUAGCACAUAUAUUAGCUUGUAAGUAGUCCCUUGGUUUUGAGAGAACCCAAACUAAGGUACUAUAUAAUCUUGGGCAAAACACUUAAUCUUUCUUGGUCUUUAUCAGUCUAUAAAAUGGAGAUAAAAGUACAACUUCUAGAGUUUUGGAAGCAAUACAUGUAAAGCAACUAGAAGCCUUUGUAGGUCAUAACAGAUAUUUAUUAAUAUUGAAGAUUUUUAUUGCCUUGUGUAUGAAUAUGACAAAUGACUUAACUAAAACUAUGGUAUGAUACUAAUCCUUCAAAUUGGGUUUGCUCAAGAUUGAUUCCAUAGUCCUCCUGUGACUAUGAUUUUCAAAUUGGUUCAGUUCCUCAUGGUCUUCUCAAUGAUGUACAAAUUCUUUGGUGUGACACUAAUUGCAGUCUAAUAACAAUUUAAUUCUCCUGUUUCAUAUCACUGACUUCCUUCAUAGACAAUGAGUUAUCCUUCAUUCCCUGAUGCACCAUGAUAAUAAUAGUAAUAAUAAUAAUAAUUACAACGAAUAUGCAUUGAGUACUUCUUAUUAGACAGGCAAAACACUACUCUAAAUGUUGAUGCGUGAUCUUCUUUGCUGUUCAAAACCCUGGAAGAACAUUUAGACAGUGUAAGUGCCGAAGUCCUCACAAGGUCCCUAAAGUGCUAGGUGAACCAAACACUC